rnacentral:lncRNA from 1 species
CUCAAAGCAUAUGUACGAUGGAUAAUGGGAUAAAUUUUUAUUUUUAUUUUGAUCUUGAAUAAUUUAAUAUAAAACAGGAUAAUAUGGCGAGCGACUCUUAGACGGAUCCAUUGGAUCUCCUCUAUUUAAUAAUUUUUUUGUAGAAUCCUAUGCUCAUGGAUACUGGUCCACACGUGUAAAUACAACGGUAAUAUUCUGCAAAAUUACGCG